rnacentral:rRNA from 1 species
UACGGGGGGGGCAAGCGUUGUUCGGAAUUACUGGGCGUAAAGGGCUCGUAGGCGGCCAACUAAGUCAGACGUGAAAUCCCUCGGCUUAACCGGGGAACUGCAUCUGAUACUGGAUGGCUUGAGUUCGGGAGAGGGAUGCGGAAUUCCAGGUGUAGCGGUGAAAUGCGUAGAUAUCUGGAGGAACACCGGGGGCGAAGGCGGCAUCCGGGACCGACACUGACGCUGAGGAGCGAAAGCCAGGGGAGCAAACGGG